GACGAACGCUGGCGGCGUGCUUAACACAUGCAAGUCGAACGGUGAACCUCUUCGGAGGGGAUCAGUGGCGAACGGGUGAGUAACACGUGGGCAACCUGCCCCCGGCUCUGGGAUAACUCCAAGAAAUUGGGGCUAAUACCGGCUGUUCACCGCUUCCCGCAUGGGUGGUGGUGCAAAGGGUUUCCGGCUGGGGAUGGGCCCGCGGCCUAUCAGCUUGUUGGUGGGGUAGUGGCCUACCAAGGCGACGACGGGUAGCCGGCCUGAGAGGGUGACCGGCCACACGGGGACUGAGAGACGGACCAGACUCCUACGGGAGGCAGCAGGGGGGAGUAUGGCGCAGUGGGCGGGAGCCUGACGCAGCGACGCCGCGUGGGGGAUGACGGCCUUCGGGUUGUAAACCGCUGUCAGCAGGGACGAAGCGCAAGUGACGGUACCUGCAGAAGAAGCACCGGCCAACUACGUG
rnacentral:rRNA from 1 species